rnacentral:rRNA from 1 species
CGGUUAUAAGAUCCCUCAAAGAUGAUGUGGUUAAUAGGUUCGUGGUGGAAGCUUGGUGACAUGUGGUGCUGACGAAUACUAAUCGAUCGUAGACUUAAUCAA